ensembl:lncRNA
GCUCCGGGAGCGCAGAGGCAGCGGGAGGAGGAGGCCGCGAGCGCCCGCACGGAGCGGUGAGAGGGGGCAGCGAGGGGCUGGGGGGCGCAGGGGGGGUGGGAGAGGGGCUCGGCUGCUGCUGUUGAGGCAGGAUGGGAAUGAAUAGACUUGACUCAGAAGGUUGUGAGAGUGAAACUUCGAUUUAUUUAAAAUACACCGCUCCUUUAUACAGAGCUCCGUGAGGACUAAAUCUAUUGAAGUGAAAACAAUCCACAGCUUUGGUGUACAGUGCUUGACACAGAACUUACCUAUAAACAAUGUGAAAAACAAGAGAGAUAAAGAAUUAUUUACAUUCUUAUUUAGCUCUUUCCCAGGCGUCUGCCUGGCUAGAAACUCUCAGUUUCUCUCUUUGACUGAAUCCGAGUCCCACACUCGGCCACCCCAGGGUUGGCUAAGAUUGCUCACAGGGGGGGUCCCACCACGCUGGAAAUCUUCAUGGUGCCCCCCCGCCCACCGAGGGGGGACCCAGUGAGGUUCCCCACCUUUGGAACACCCCUUGUACCCCCAGAACAAGGAGCCGGGGGUCCCUCCGACCCUCCCAGCCGAUGACUCCUACGAAGACACCGAACCCCCCGAGCACGGCGGCGGCGACAGCGACAGCAGCCACUACGAGUCGUACGGAGAGGAGGAAGAGGAGGAGGAGGAGGAUGGGGGGGUGACGGACCGGGCCCAUUACCUGCGCUGGCCAGCGGGCACCAGCGCCGAGCCCCCCGAGCCCCCCGGGCGCCCCGAGGCGCAGCUCUGCGGUUUCCUCUGGAGGAAGCGCUGGCUGGGCCGGUGGGCCAAGCAGCUUUUCAUCGUCCGGGAGCACGUCCUGCUGUGCUUCAGGUGUGCCGCAGACCUGCAGCCGCUGCUGCAGCUGGACCUGCGCGGCUGCCGCGUCUCCUGCAAGGACAAGAGGGGCAAGAAGAUGCCCCAUGCCCUGAAGGUGGCAGGGAGGGCAGGAGAGGUGCUGGUCAUCGGCUUCCAGAGCCGGCAGCAGGCUGAGGACUGGAGGAAGGUGAUCGAGGAGGUGAGCAGCGAUGGCCCGAGCGGGCUGGCGGCUCUCGGGGUCCCAGCGCCGCCUUCCUCCAGGCCCGGCAGGAUUCGGGGAUCCCCCUAUCCCCACUCCGGGCCUGCCUCACCGCAGCUCGGCAAGGAGGAAGAGGAGGAGGGGAGGAAGCGCUGCCGGCCGAGCCCCGCGCGGCGCGGAGAGGACGGCAAAGGAGGGUUCCCGGUGCUCCGGCAGCGCCUGCGGGCCGCGCUCCGUCGCGGAGCCCUGCGGGUGCUGGCGGUGCCCGGCGCUGCCCCGCGCCCGGAGGGGUGCCGGGGGUCCCCCGGGACGGCCGCCGGAUCCCCCCAAAACCUCCGCGCCCGCAUCGCCCAGCGCGGCCGGGAGCUGGCCCGGCUGCAGGCCCGUCCGGACCAGGGGAGCGAAGCCCGGCUGAGGACCCCACAGACCAGGGGGGCAGCGGAGCCCAAGAAGGGCGAGGGGCCCCCGCCGAGACCCCCGAGGCCGAGCAGCCGCCCCGCUGCCGGGGGGCUGCUGCUGCGCCGUGUGCCCACCCCCAACGCCUACAUGGACGAUCCCUCCGGGCACCCCCCGCCAGCCGGGACCCCCAAACAUCUCUCGUGCAGCGCGGAGCGGCUGCAGCAGCUGCAGCAGAGCCUGGAGCGGGCAGUGCCAGGGCAGCGCCCCAGACCCGUGUCUGCCCUGCCCGGCUGUGCCAGCGCCGCGGGCGGUGCCCGGGCCUCGCCGGCAGGGCACAGAGCGUUUCCCAAGCCGGAGGAGCACACGGGGCAGCUGCUGAGGGGCGCGAAGGGCAGGAUGAGAUCCGGCUCCGAGAUCAACCUGCUGGCGCUGGGCACGGCGCUGAGGGGGCACAUCGCUGCCAGCGCCAGCUCGGCUGGCUCCGAGGUGGGCAACUGCCGGAAUCUGGGGUAUUGA